CCUACCUGUCAAAAGGCGUUAAUAGCGAUUUAUCUCUUUUUUACUUCCAAUCAAAUAUUCUAAUACAUAAUUGUAUAAUAUGAUAAAAGAAUAAAUAUCAAUUAUUUCUGUUAUAAAUUGCUUUAGGAGAAACUUUAAUGCCCCGGCGUACAAUAAAUGGUACGUGGAAUGUUUAACAAAAGCUAAAUUGCAAAAUGGCCACGACGACGUUCGCUUCUAAUGAUUUUACAAGAUGGAGUGAAGACGAAAAUAAGAAUACCAUUAAUAAGAUUUAUGCACGUUUAGUUGUGGUUGCGCGCGUCGAUUUGUGCGGAGCUCCUUAUAGCAUCUACGAGGCUGCAUGCGUCCACAGAACGAGCAAUUGCACGCAUGCGUUAAUGGCGACACUCGGCGCAGCGCGGGAUAUAUUGCCGCAAUGAUAUAUGGCCACCGGCGUCGUCUAUCAUUCUACCACCCAAAAGUUAGCGGAAAACUGUCCGAGAACAAAAAGACGUUGAGACACUUUAAUGAGCAGAUACCGAAGACAGAAAUAAAGGCCAUGAGCUUACAAUACCGCUUUGUUCUUACGACAUUGUUGAAAGGGAUAUAAAUGGAACGAAAUCAUAAAGAGUAUAUAUGUACAUUGAAAUUUCGUAAAUUCGUAAAUUAAAAAAUUGACUAGUGGUA